AGACCCGAAACCCGGUGAUCUAGCCAUGGGCAGGUUGAAGGUUGGGUAACACUAACUGGAGGACCGAACCGACUAAUGUUGAAAAAUUAGCGGAUGACCUGUGGCUGGGGGUGAAAGGCCAAUCAAACCGGGAGAUAGCUGGUUCUCCCCGAAAGCUAUUUAGGUAGCGCCUCGUGAAUUCAUCUCCGGGGGUAGAGCACUGUUUCGGCUAGGGGGCCAUCCCGGCUUACCAACCCGAUGCAAACUGCGAAUACCGGAGAAUGUUAUCACGGGAGACACACGGCGGGUGCUAACGUCCGUCGUGAAGAGGGAAACAACCCAGACCGCCAGCUAAGGUCCCAAAGUCAUGGUUAAGUGGGAAACGAUGUGGGAAGGCCCAGACAGCCAGGAUGUUGGCUUAGAAGCAGCCAUCAUUUAAAGAAAGCGUAAUAGCUCACUGGUCGAGUCGGCCUGCGCGGAAGAUGUAACGGGGCUAAACCAUGCACCGAAGCUGCGGCAGCGACGCUGAUGCGUUGUUGGGUAGGGGAGCGUUCUGUAAGCCUGCGAAGGUGACCUGUGAGGGUUGCUGGAGGUAUCAGAAGUGCGAAUGCUGACAUAAGUAACGA
rnacentral:rRNA from 1 species